rnacentral:rRNA from 1 species
UACGUAGGGUGCGAGCGUUAAUCGGAAUUCUGGGCGUAAAGCGUGCGCAGGCGGUUUUGUAAGCCAGAUGUGAAAGCCCCGGGCUCAACCUGGGAAUGGCAUUUGGGACUGCAAGGCUUGAGUGCGGCAGAGGAGACUGGAAUUCCUGGUGUAGCAGUGAAAUGCGUAGAGUAUCAGGAGGAAUACCGAUGGCGAAGGCAGGUCUCUGGGCUGACACUGACGUCA